rnacentral:rRNA from 1 species
CCUACGGGUGGCAGCAGUGAGGAAUAUUGGUCAAUGGGCGAGAGCCUGAACCAGCCAAGUCGCGUGAGGGAGUACUGCCCUAUGGGUUGUAAACCUCUUUUGUCGGGGAGCAAAAGCCGGACGGGUCCGGCUGUGAGAGUACCCGAAGAAAAAGCAUCGGCUAACUCGGUGCCAGCAGCCGCGGUAAUACGGAGGAUGCGGGCGUUAUCCCGGUUUAUUGGGGUUAAAGGGUGCGCAGGGGGAUUAUUAAGUCAGCGGGCAAAUCGUGGGGCUUAACCCCAUCCAGCCGUUGAAACUGGGCGUCUAGAGUGUGCGUGAGGUAUGCGGAAUGCGUGGUGUAGCGGUGAAAUGCAUAGAUAUCACGCAGAACCCCGAUUGCGAAGGCAGCAUACCGGUGCACAACUGACGCUCAGGCACGAAAGCGUGGGUAUCGAACAGGAUUAGAUACCCGAGUAGUC